rnacentral:rRNA from 1 species
CCCAGUAACUGCGAGUGAACAGGGAGAAGCCCAGCACCGAAGCCUGUGGCCGUUUGGCUACUAGGCAAUGUGGUGUUUAGGUUGUUCCUUGAGGGCGCUGCCUCAUUCCAAGUCCAGCAAUGAGUACGGUAAUAUUGACUUGGCCCAAAGAGGGUGAAAGGCCCGUGGGAGUGAGGUCGCAGAAAUGCCAGUGCCUUCCUGGAUAAACCUUGGAGUCGGGUUGUUUGUGAAUGCAGCCCAAAGUGGGUGGUAAACUCCAUCCAAGGCUAAAUACUUGCACGAGUCCGAUAGCGAACAAGUACCGUGAGGGAAAGUUGAAAAGUACUCUGAAGAGAGAGUAAACAGUGCGUGAAACCGCUCAGAGGUAAACGGGUGGAGUUGAACUGUGAUCUCUGUGGAUUUAGCUGGUGAGUGUGGUUUGAGCUUGGUCAAAUUGGUUGUAAUCUGGAAUCUGCUUAGCCGCAGGUCCUGGCCUUCGGGUUAGGAUGCGCGAGGCACUCACCAAGUGUUGCGCGUUUCAGUUGUGUCGUGCCAGCUCGCCAGUGCACUUUCGCAGAGUGUUCACCACGACCGGCAUUGCUGUCCGGCUGAUGUGGUUAAACCGGCCUUUCAUUGUCCUCGUGGCUUUGGAUUGUCGGGAUGGCAGGUAGCUCAAUUGACAGGCCUGUGGUUCGCUGCAGGUUCUGGCUCUCGGGUGUUAUCAGCUGACCAUGUUGGUUCUGUGCAGUAUGUCGGAGACGGCGGCUAGUGGUACAUGCGUGCGUUCUAGUUGGUCGGCGUGUCCGGGUUUGGUUAUUAUGUUGCCUGUGUUUACAGGCCUAGUGAUAGCCCGGGUUCGUUCGGCUGGCAGUUGCGUGCGUUGUGCUUCCAGGGCC